rnacentral:rRNA from 1 species
GUUGUUGCGGUUAAAAGCUCGUAGUUGGAUUUCUGUCGAAGACGGUCGGUCCGCUCUAUGAGCGUGCAUCUGAUUCGGCUUUGGCAUCCUCGUGGGGAACGUAACUGUGCUUGAUUGCAUGGUGCGGAAUUCACGACUUUUACUUUGAGGAAAUUAGAGUGUUCACGGCAGGCAAGCGCCUUGAAUAUAUUAGCAUGGAAUAAUAAUAUAGGACUUUGGUUCUAUUUUGUUGGUUUCUAGGACUAAAGUAAUGAUUAAUAGGGAUAAUUGGGGGCAUUUGUAUUAACGCGUCAGAGGUGGAAUUCUUGGAUUGCGUUACGACAAACUACUGCGAAAGCAUUUGCCAAGGAUGUUUUCAUUGAUCAAGAACGAAAGUAUGGGGAUCGAAGAUGAUUAGAUACCGUCGUAGUCUAUACCAUAAACUAUGCCGACUAGAGAUUGGAGGUCGUUCUUUCCAUGACUCCUUCAGCACCUUAUGAGAAAUCAAAGUCUUUGGG